UACGGAGGGUGCAAGCGUUAAUCGGAAUUACUGGGCGUAAAGCGCACGCAGGUGGCUGAGUCAGUCGAUUGUGAAAGCCCUGGGCUUAACCUGGGAAUUGCAGUCGAUACUACUCAGCUAGAGUAUGGGAGAGGGCAGUGGAAUUCCCGGUGUAGCGGUGAAAUGCGUAGAGAUGCGGAGGAACACCGAUGGCGAAGGCAGCCCCUGGGCUAACACUGACGCUCAGGCACGAAGCGUGGGAGCAACAGG
rnacentral:rRNA from 1 species